AGUUAAAAGCAGAAGUUUCCCGCUUCUCGCCUGAGUAACGCUUAGUUGCUGGGCUUUCGAUGCAAAAUCUAUCAACUACUAUGAUAGAAAUAGCGGGUUCUCUGUUAAGAGGAUCCGCUAUUUUUCUGCUAA
rfam:Lactobacillus florum 8D Contig00038, whole genome shotgun sequence.